rnacentral:tRNA from 1 species
GGGGACGUGGCGAAAUUGGUAGACGCACUGGAUUUAGGUUCCAGCGCCGCAAGGUGUGAGAGUUCGAGUCUCUCCGUCCCCACC